AGGGCCGGGCGGCGCGGGGCCGGGGCCGGGGCCGGGGCCGGGGCCGGGGCCGGGAUCGGGAUCGGGAUCGGGAUCGCGAUACCGCAGUGGAAGUCGUGAGUCUGCAGCUGCCCCCGGGAGCACCGGCCUGCUCGCAGCCCCCCUCCAGCCCGAGGACAAGCUCAGCGCUUCCUCUGCAGGCCGGGCCCUCCCAGGCUGGGCCUCCCCUUGGGUUCCGUGGUGCCGAACUGGGGCUGUGUGGGAGUUCAGCCUUCCGUGAGGGGAUCCCAGGAAACCACAGGCUGCCUGCAAACGUCUGGAGGAUGGAGGCAUGUUGGGGACCCCUGGGAGUCAGCUGGCAAAUUCGAUGCACUGGGAAAACGAUGGUGUGCCUGCAUUGUUCCUAGGUGUACCAGGGUGGCACAAACUGCAGCCGUGAGAACGCAUCCUGCAAACAUGAACUACCAGCUUAUAGGGCUGAAUGCCAGCAAGCCAGUCAGCGAUGUCCGGGAGGACCGGGGAAGGGGACAUGGUGGCUGGAGCAGAGGAGAGGGGCUCUGGUUCCUCACCCGGCCCAGCUCCGAAAGGCUGAGUGUCACCAAGCCCUGAAGCCCAUGGUGUUCCGCAUCAGAGCAGCCCCGUUUGUGGCAGGGCUGGACCUUUAGCUGUGGUGCAGUUUCACACUGGUGAUGGCAGCCUGCCCCUUAGUGUCUGUACAGUCCUCAGAGCGCUCGAGCAGUCUGCAGUUACAAUUACAUGUGGUAACAAGUUAAUCUGAUCUUUAAUGUUUUUUCUGUUCUCAUUUUGUUGUCUGUAAAAGUAAGUACUUCUAAUGCUCAGUUUUACCUUCACCAUGACCCUCAGAAGACAUUCUGUAAAACUUUGAAAGUGCCUCUGAUCUCCCACAGCAGCCAGCUUCAUUUGUGACUACUGUUAGAUAGCAGACUUAAAACAAAGUGAUUGAAAAAUGGGGGGGGGGGGGGGGGGGGGGGGUUCUAAUUUACUGCUAAAACAUGUAAUCUGGUUCUGAGUGCUACCUUUACAAGAUGAGGGUUUCUGAAGGACCUUAUGCAUAAAGUUUACCUAUACUGAACCUCAUCAUUUCAUGAGGAGAAACCAAGACCUCAAACUCUGAUCUAGGAAAGUAAAAAAAAAAAAGGUAUAAAAUAUAAUAACAUCAGUAGGCUCUGCAAGGGUAUUAGGCCUGUCCAUCCUGGUGUUUCUCUUAUUCUUUGGGCAGGUGAGGCAGUGAGCAAGGCGGCACCAGUUCCUGCUCUUCACACCUGCACGGUGCCCUGCUGCUCAGGCUCCCAGCAUUGCAGGGGAAGGUUUAAAUCUUCCCCCUGCCAAAAACUGCCUUCCUUCAGAGACAAACAGCCUCCUGGAAACACUCCUCAUCCUGAUGGCAAAGUUGAUUCCUAAACCUUGCAUUAACAUACGUCCAAGUCUAUCACUUGAGUUUAAACUAAGCUGACAGAUUCUGUCUUCAAUAUAUGUGCAAAGGCUUUGAUUUCAGAGGAGCUGCUCAGUGUGUGUCUAGAUGGGCAGAGAAUAGAAAAGUUCACAGCAAUGUUGUGGUGAAGAUGCAGACUGUUGGGCUGCUGAUCUAGAUCUUUUUAUUGCCCUUUUAUGGUGGUUUCACAUGGUACCCUUUUUUUUUUUUUUUUUUCCUUUUUCUAAGGGGAUUUGCUUCAUUUGUUGGUUAACGGACUCUGGCUAAGGGUGAGGAUGCUCUGGAGGUUUUGGCCUGGCAGACUGCAGCCAGGAUAUUGCUCUGAGCUGUCUGAGCUAUCUGAUGCUGUUGAUGCCUCGGGUCCUAGCCUCACAAAUGCACAACGUCCUGUCACGGACAGGCAGGGCUGAGACCAGACAGGAGCACAGGGUGGCAAAAUCCAGGGAGAAGGCUGUGGGAAGCUUUACUUACCUAGUUGUCCCAGGAGGUCCCAAGUGCCCCACAUACUAAUUGCUAAUAAAUGUUCAUGCUGAGUAGCUUUUAUUUUUCCAGUGAGAUGGAAUAACAGGCAAAAUAUGUGAAAGUCCCUGGAUUUCAAUAGUGUGUUUUUCUUUCAUUUAUAUUUACCUAAUUAUGCUGUCAUAGACUGCUGAAAAUUAUACCCUUGGCCCCCUCCCCCCACCCCCAAAAUGACCAAAUAAACAGAGCAGUGACUCUGACUGUGCCAGACAACACAGUCAGCGAUAAAAGAGAGAUGGAAGGGAUGGUUCUGGCAACCCAGCACCUCUGAGCAGGGGCCCUGGGGUCAAAGACCGACCUGCAUUCAGCCCCAAAGCUCGCAGUCCAAUGCCCCUUCCCUUAAGCAGUGCUGGGCUCCACAGGCACAUCUGCUCUGCUCUACUCCUUGAGGAACUCGUGGAGAAAAGUGAGAAGGGAGAAGGUCAACCAAGGGAUGUAUUUGGGAUUGGCUGUGUUUUCUGGAUGGUACUUUGGCUGUUCCUUCAUAGCCUCCCAACAGCAUGCUACAAAGUGAUGUUCUUGCAGAGGUUCUCGCUAGGCCAGAUCUAACACUGAAUAUCGCACCUGGGAGGCCUCAGCCCACAUCACCACUGUGUAUCGAGUUCCCAUAGCUGAAAGGACCAGUGACACAGGACAGACGGAGCGCAGGGAAAGCGGGAUGCUCUCAGAGCUGCCAUCCAAGCUAUAGCCCUUGUCUGAGUUACAUCCCAGCUGUGUGGGAGGUGCCACCUCUUCUCUGCUGCUGUAUGUUGUCUAUUUGGCAGGAGAACGAGCUCAGGCAGAACUCUCCACACCCGGCGUGAUUUAACCUAGGGUUUCCUCUCCAGUCGGGUGUGCGGUCUCCACCAGCCAGUCAGACUGAAACCGUCGGAUGAGGAUGAUUGAUAGUUCUGUCAGGUUCUGGGUAAGCAGCUCACUUAGCUGUGAGCAACAGCUGGGGCUCAGGUUGGAUCCCAGGCUCUUCCUGGGAUCGAUGUGCUUCUAAUUUGAAUAGGCUGCAGAGAAGUUAAAGUGAUUCUGUCCAAUUAAGCUAUGGAAUGAGGGGGUGAGGCUUCAAGUGGUCAGAAGAGGGAGAGCUCAGGCCAAAUCAUCAAUUGCUGGGUUUGUACCUACUUCAUGCAAGCUCUCGGUGGGGCACGGGGCAACCUAGUCUCACAAAUAUUUUUUUCUCAAGGAGAGCAUGAGAGGAAGAAGGAGAUGUGGAGAUGGUUGUGGUCUGGGCCACACAGGAUUCUGGUAAAACCAGGAGAGAAGAGAGCAGAACUUUGAGCAGAGCUCUCCAUCGCAGGGCUGCGGUGCCUAAGCUGAGACCGCUCUGUAUUCAGAUGAGAAUGGAAGUGGCCCAAUUUUGGCUUGUUUAAAUUACUGCUGUCUCCAUGUGUACUCUAGCAGGGCCUGGUUUAUAGUGAUCCUAAACCAACAACAAAACUGUAAUUAUAACCUAAACUAAUCAGCGGGGGAAAUGGCUGUUCCUUUAAUGCUGUGUCUGCAGAAUCCAUUUUUAGUCUGUUGUGCUGAGACAAUAAACUCCAUAAAACAGA